rnacentral:tRNA from 1 species
AGUUGUUUAGCUUAUAGAAAGCAUUUACUUUGAAAGUAAAAGAAAGAGAAAUUUAAUGACUU